GUCAAUAUUAUAUCACCCUGAAUGUGCCUGACCUCUUCUAAUCUCAGAAGUUAAGCAAGGUUAGACCUGGUUAGUACUUGAAUGGCAGACCGCCUGGGAAUACCAGGUGCUGUAGUCU
ensembl:rRNA 5S_rRNA 5S ribosomal RNA